AGCUUUGCGCAGUGGCAAUAUCGUAGCCAAUGAGGUCUACCCAAGGCGCGAUUAUUGCUAAUUGAAAACUUUUCCCAAUACCCCGCCACGACGACUUGAAAUAUAGUUGGCACUGGCAAUUUUUGACGGUCUCCAUGGAGA
rnacentral:snRNA from 1 species